UUUUGAGCGUUCGGUGGAUGCCUUGGCAUCAGGAGCCGAUGAAGGACGUGGUGGCCUGCGAUAUGCCUCGGGGAGCCGGCUAACGGGCUGUGAUCCGAGGGUUUCCGAAUGGGGGGACCCGGCACCAGUUAUGUGGUGUCACCUGCAUCUGAAUUCAUAGGGUGUAGGGGGUGACGCGGGGAAGUGAAACAUCUCAGUACCCGCAGGAGAAGAUAUUCCGUGAGUAGUGGCGAGCGAAAGCGGAUGAUGGUUAAACCGUUUCCGUGUGAUGACCCGGCAGGGGUUGCGGUUGCGGUGUUGUGGGGCGCAUCUUUCUCACGUCUGCCGGCGUGGGGCGCAGUGAGAAACUCGCAUGGUAGCUGAAUCCUUUGGGAAGGGGAGGCGUAGUGGGUGAGACCCCCGUAGGCGAAACUGUGUGGGCUGUGUGGGUGCGUUGCCCGAGUAGCACGGGGCUCGUGGAAUCCUGUGUGAAUCUGCCAAGACCACUUGGUUGCCUGAAUACUUCCUGAUGACCGAUAGCGGAUAGUACCGUGAGGGAAUGGUGAAAAGUACCCCGGGAGGGGAGUGAAAUAGUACCUGAAACCGGGCGCUUACAAGCCGUCAGAGGCCUGCUGGGCUGAUGGCGUGCCUAUUGAAGAAUGAGCCUGCGAGUUAGUGCUGUGUCGCGAGGUUAACCCGUUGGGGGGAGUCGUAGCGAAAGCGAGUCCGAAAGGGCGUUUUAGUGGCACGGUCUAGACCCGAAGCGGGGUGAUCUACCCAUGGCCAGGUUGAAGCACGUGUAAGAGCGUGUGGAGGACCGAACCCACUUCAGUUGAAAAUGGAGGGGAUGAGCUGUGGGUAGGGGUGAAAGGCCAAUCAAACUCCGUGAUAGCUGGUUCUCCCCGAAAUGCAUUUAGGUGCAGCGUCCCGUGGUCCCCGGCGGAGGUAGAGCUACUGGGUGGCUGAUCGGCCCCACAGGGUUAGUGACGUCAACCAAACUCCGAAUGCCGUUCGGGUUACAGCGGGGCAGUGAGACUGCGGGGGAUAAGCUCCGUGGUCGAAAGGGAAACAGCCCAGAUCGCCGGCUAAGGCCCCUAAGCGUGUGCUAAGUGGGAAAGGAUGUGCGGUCGCGCAGACAACCAGGAGGUUGGCUUAGAAGCAGCCAUCCUUGAAAGAGUGCGUAACAGCUCACUGGUCAAGUGAUUCUGCGCCGAUAAUGUAGCGGGGCUCAAGUACACCGCCGAAGUUGUGGCAAUGAUCUUUUUGGAUUGUUGGGUAGGGGAGCGUCGUGUAGCCAGUGAAGCUGCGGUGUAAACCAGUGGUGGAGGCUAUGCGAGUGAGAAUGCAGGCAUGAGUAGCGAAAGAUGAGUGAGAAACUCAUCCGCCGGAUGAUCAAGGGUUCCAGGGUCAAGUUAAUCUGCCCUGGGUUAGUCGGGGCCUAAGGCGAGGCCGACAGGCGUAGUCGAUGGAUAACGGGUUGAUAUUCCCGUACCGGUAAAAAACCGCCCAUACUGAUAUUGUGAUGCUAACCAUGCGAAGCAUGAUGUGCAGGCUUUUGUUUGUGUGUUGUGUGGGUUGUGGGACCCGAUCUUUGGAGGUAAACGUAUUAACAGGUGUGACGCAGGAAGGUAGCCAAGCCACGCGAUGGUUGUCGUGGUCUAAGCGUGUAGGGUUGUCGGUUGUUAAAUGCGCCGGCUGUGUGCCUGAGACGUGAUGGGACCCCGUUUUUGGGGGAUUUGGUGAUCCUAUGCUGCCGAGAAAAGCAUCGGCGUGAGGUUUUAGCCGCCCGUACCCUAAACCGACACAGGUGAUCAGGUAGAGAAUACUAAGGCGAUCGAGAGAAUCAUGGUUAAGGAACUCGGCAAAAUGCCCCCGUAACUUCGGGAGAAGGGGGACCUUGAGCGUGAUGGGCACUUGCUGCCUGGAGCGUGUAUGGGUCGCAGAGACCAGGGGGAAGCGACUGUUUAUCAAAAACACAGGU
rnacentral:rRNA from 1 species